AUGAACGCUGGCGGCGUGCCUCAUACCUGCCAGUCGAGCGAACGGACGAGAAGCUUGCUUCUCUGAUGUUAGCGGCGGACGGGUGAGUAACACGUGGAUAACCUACCUAUAAGACUGGGAUAACUUCGGGAAACCGGAGCUAAUACCGGAUAAUAUUUUGAACCGCAUGGUUCAAAAGUGAAAGACGGUCUUGCUGUCACUUAUAGAUGGAUCCGCGCUGCAUUAGCUAGUUGGUAAGGUAACGGCUUACCAAGGCAACGAUGCAUAGCCGACCUGAGAGGGUGAUCGGCCACACUGGAACUGAGACACGGUCCAGACUCCUACGGGAGGCAGCAGUAGGGAAUCUUCCGCAAUGGGCGAAAGCCUGACGGAGCAACGCCGCGUGAGUGAUGAAGGUCUUCGGAUCGUAAAACCCUGUUAUUAGGGAAGAACAUAUGUGUAAGUAACUGUGCACAUCUUGACGGUACCUAAUCAGAAAGCCACGGCUAACUACGUG
rnacentral:rRNA from 1 species